rnacentral:lncRNA from 1 species
AUGGGACCAAGAGGGGAAAUAAAUAAAAGGUUGACAAACAGGACAAGUGGGAGACUUAAAUCUGGGGAUGCUGAUUUUGGGAUAUUGAUGUGUGCGUUGACAAACAGGACAAGUGGGAGACUUAAAUCUGGGGAUGCUGAUUUUGGGAUAUUGAUGUGUGCGUUGAGAAAAUAUUUAUGGGUUGGAUUAUGUUAUUACAUUAUAGAAUGCUAAAUGCUAAAAGGGAAACAUUGAUGUAACUUAAGUUACCAUGAACGGAGGGGACACAUGAUUAAUAACUGUUCUGUGUAAGUUUAUUUGGGUUAUAACACAGGUUGGAUCAUCAGUGGAGAAAGUGAGUAUAAAAGGUGAUGUUCUGGUUAACACACAGCUUUGUUUAUAGGACGUUUAAGGAUGCAGGCUGUGGAUGGAGCCAAGAAAGGAUUUGACAUGAUGAUUAAUUUGAUUUCAUUCCUUAAACACAGGUUUGAAGGCCGGAGCAUGUAUGCCUAAUAUGAUAUGACUAACCUUUUUUUUUUUAAUUUCCUAAGCUGAGUGAAGGAUUUUGAGUUUGUAACACAUGAGAUGUGUCACAAAAGGGGGUGUUAAUAUAUGCGAUUAGCUACAUGAAAGUGCUCUUUUAGGGGUACUAAGCAAAUGUCUACGUGACCUUUACCUAAAACCUUUGUGAUGAGAAACUUGUUACCGACUUGCUCUCUUGUAGAACAUACAGACUUAGAAAAGGGGAACCUCAGCUCUGAGUUCUGAGAAUAACUCUGUUAAGUGACAGGAAACACGUCGAGACAGCAAUAUAGGGCAAAUAUGUUUGAGCUUGUAAUUAAAUGUGGGACUUGAAAAGAGGAAGCAAAUUUGGUACAGGACGUACUUGAGAUGAUCAGACAGAGAAGGAGAAGGUCAGGAAUAGUUUAAACUAGAUUGAGAAAGUAAAUGGGGUAAAAGGGGGUGUAGCUUCAGGGCAGUUCACAGCCUGGCGUAAACGCAAGGUGCUGUCACACAGCUUAAGUUAUUUGGUUGAUUUAUUUAUGACAAAUAAUAAAAAUAAAAAAUAUACAACACGUUGAGAAAUCUUUUUGUUUAUUUAGUGUUUACAUGGAAGAUCUCU